rnacentral:rRNA from 1 species
UACGUAGGGAGCAAGCGUUGUCCGGAAUCAUUGGGCGUAAAGCGCGCGUAGGUGGCCUCAUAAGUCCGCUGUGAAAGUCAAAGGCUCAACCUUUGAAAGCCGGUGGAUACUGUGAGGCUAGAGUACGGAAGAGGCGAGUGGAAUUCCUGGUGUAGCGGUGAAAUGCGUAGAUAUCUGCAGGAACACCCGUGGCGAAAGCGGCGCGCUGGACCUCUUCUGACGCUGAGGCGCGAAAGCCAGGGGAGCAAGCGGG